rnacentral:rRNA from 1 species
CGCUGGCGGCAGGCCUAACACAUGCAAGUCGAGCGGUAGAGAGAAGCUUGCUUCUCUUGAGAGCGGCGGACGGGUGAGUAAUACCUAGGAAUCUGCCUGAUAGUGGGGGAUAACGUUCGGAAACGGACGCUAAUACCGCAUACGUCCUACGGGAGAAAGCAGGGGACCUUCGUGCCUUGCGCUAUCAGAUGAGCCUAGGUCGGAUUAGCUAGUUGGUGAGGUAAUGGCUCACCAAGGCUACGAUCCGUAACUGGUCUGAGAGGAUGAUCAGUCACACUGGAACUGAGACACGGUCCAGACUCCUACGGGAGGCAGCAGUGGGGAAUAUUGGACAAUGGGCGAAAGCCUGAUCCAGCCAUGCCGCGUGUGUGAAGAAGGUCUUCGGAUUGUAAAGCACUUUAAGUUGGGAGGAAGGGCAGUUACCUAAUACGUGACUGUCUUGACGUUACCGACAGAAUAAGCACCGGCUAACUCUGUGCCAGCAGCCGCGGUAAUACAGAGGGUGCAAGCGUUAAUCGGAAUUACUGGGCGUAAAGCGCGCGUAGGUGGUUUGUUAAGUUGAAUGUGAAAUCCCCGGGCUCAACCUGGGAACUGCAUCCAAAACUGGCAAGCUAGAGUAUGGUAGAGGGUAGUGGAAUUUCCUGUGUAGCGGUGAAAUGCGUAGAUAUAGGAAGGAACACCAGUGGCGAAGGCGACUACCUGGACUGAUACUGACACUGAGGUGCGAAAGCGUGGGGAGCAACCAGGAUUAGAUACCCUGGUAGUCC